rnacentral:rRNA from 1 species
UACGUAGGGACCGAGCGUUGUCCGGAAUCACUGGGCGUAAAGGGUGCGUAGGCGGGUCUUUAAGUCAGGGGUGAAAUCCUGGAGCUCAACUCCAGAACUGCCUUUGAUACUGAGGAUCUUGAGUUCGGGAGAGGUGAGUGGAACUGCGAGUGUAGAGGUGAAAUUCGUAGAUAUUCGCAAGAACACCAGUGGCGAAGGCGGCUCACUGGCCCGAUACUGACGCUGAGGCACGAAAGCGUGGGGAGCAAACAGG